GACGAACGCUGGCGGCGUGCUUAACACAUGCAAGUCGAACGGAAAGGCCCUGCUUGCAGGGUACUCGAGUGGCGAACGGGUGAGUAACACGUGGGUGAUCUGCCCUGCACUUCGGGAUAAGCUUGGGAAACUGGGUCUAAUACCGGAUAGGAACCAUCUUUAGUGUGGUGGUUGGAAAGUUUUUUCGGUGUAGGAUGAGCUCGCGGCCUAUCAGCUUGUUGGUGGGGUAAUGGCCUACCAAGGCGGCGACGGGUAGCCGGCCUGAGAGGGUGUACGGCCACAUUAGGACUGAGAGACGGGCCAGAGUGCUACGGGAGGCAGCAGUGGGGAAUAUUGGACAAUGGGAGGCAGCCUGAUGCAGGGAGGCCGCGUGGGGGAUGAAGGCCUUCGGGUGGUAAAAACCUUUCGCUAGGGACGAAGCUUUGUUGUGACGGUACCUAGAUAAGAAGCACCGGCUAACUACGUG
rnacentral:rRNA from 1 species